GGGGGUAUAGCUCAGUUGGGAGAGCACCUGCCUUGCAAGCAGGGGGUCACGAGUUCGAAUCUCGUUAUCUCCACGA
rnacentral:tRNA from 11 species